GAAAAAAGCCAUCUUUCCUUCUGAAGCCCCAAGCAAAUAGCUUGGUUCUCUGUCCCCAUGACUGCGGUGUGUCAUCAUGCACCAAAAGCUACGUGCCUCCUCCUCCCAGAGCUCUCGUAUGAAAAGUUUGCAAAAGGGACUUUGUUGGUGGGAUGAGAAAUAAUUGGUUUAAUGUAUAGCAACAUACCCUUGGAGUAGGUGUAACCAAAGACUGUAGGAGAGCCGUGUGUCCUGGAAGGAACAAGGAAGGAGAUUACAGCAUUGUCUUCACUGAAGACUUUUCAGAGCAGAUGAGAGGGCAUAGGCAAUGGCCAAGCACCUCUCAGGACAUCUCUGAUCUUCUUCAUGAGCCAAACUAUUGGACUGGGAAGAGACUACGUGACUGUAUGGUCCAUUCCUCCUCCCCAAAGCACACCUAAUUACAAAGCAUUAAUGUGUGUCAGGAAGCAACGCAACAGUGAUUAAAAUAACUCCACAAAAUAGGAAAUAAUACUUCUGUGAGUCAUGGGAGGUUACAGCAAUACAGUGCUCUGUAGGUCACCAGUUUGCCCGUAUUAACCUGCAGCGUGGAGUUAAACCAAAAGAGAUGACAGAAAAAGAGUCGAGCUGGGAUAAAACUGCAGAUGAGGAAAAGCCAUCUGCAGGGACAAGAUGAGCCCUUUCCCCCUUCAGGAGAUGAGCAUUGGCCUGGGGAUGAAUACCUGCCUUCCAGAGCUUCAGGUCUGAUUCUUGGCAAACAUCAUGGAAGCUGUCAGGAGGUGAGGUUCAGCUUCAGGGAGUGAUAUGAAACUGAGAGAGAUGCUGGGGGCCAGGACAGCACCAAAAGGUACUGUCACUGGAAACCAAGAGUAUAAAGUGGAACUUGGUCAUGGCCUCAAUAAAUGCUAGAUACAGACACAGUGUGGAUUUUGUCAGCAAGAAGGUGGUGAAUGCAAAGAGCCUGAGUUUACUGUGAGAUGUAAACUGUUUGCUCUUGAGGAAGAGGAUGGUUUAUUAGUUCCUGUAAACCUGGGCACAAGCAGACCUGGAACAUCCCUGUCAGGGCACAGGAAGGCUCAGUGGGACAACAUGAACCCCUCCCCCCCAGGCAGAGGAUGGAAGAUGGCCUCAACCCCAUGUUCUUCAUCACACUUGUUUCUCGUGAUCUGUGUUUGAAAAGAAAACAGACUUUAUCCUAACAUACUGGCAUGUACAUUGCCCCAAAAUGAGUUAUUCAUAUAGGAUGGGACCUGAAGUGGUACUCUGGGGAAGAGAGGAGUCCCAAGGAAACUUGAGCACGAGUCUUCAACUUUUCAGUUUAUCCCCACUUUGGCUGGAGUUAUUCCCAUAAGGCGAUUAUUGCUUUCAAAGCCAGUCCUGCUUUUCCCUGCGCCUGGAAGGCCACUCCCCCAGUGCUGUGUAUGUGCACCAGCUGGCUCUUUUCCAGGCACUGCACAGUGAAGAAAUGCCUGCUUGCGUACCUGCUGCAAGCUAUUUACAUCUCACUUUCAUUGGCAAUAAAUUAGCUCUGUAGAAGAGCUCCAAGCAACAGUUGUUCCGAGCGAGGAGGGAGUCUGGAUUCUGUGACAGCAUUUAAACAGCCAGCCCUUAUCAUCACAAAUGGAGGAGCGCAGGGAGCUUGUUGAUGCAAACCAACAUCAAGUGAACUGUGGCUGCCAGCAGAACAGCUUCCCAUGUGAAAACCCUGAGUGCCUUCUUCAUGACAAGGCCGCAGCAAAGCCAAAUCAAGGACAGCGUCUUUUUUCCCCCAAACCAGCUGUUAAUGGAAUAAGUAAUUCUGCCUUUCACAUCUCACUCACUUUAUAUGCAUUCUAAUUAAUUCUGUCGGGGAAAAUAAUUGGCUCAGAUCGGGUCGAUCCAACUGAAGUUCUAAAUAACUUUGGUUGAAUGGUAUUUAUAUUUCAGAAACGAGCUUGGGUGAAACGCUCACAUGCUCAGCAUACUGAGCCUGUGCUAACUUGGCAUAAAAAUAGUGCUGUGGUCCGUCAAGUGGCAUUAAGCCCCGUCUGUAAAAAGAUGUCCAGCUGCCUCUGAAGUGCAGCUCUCUGUGGGGCUGGAGGGGAGUAGAGCAACCUGUGUCAGUGCUGAGUGGUGGGCAGCACAGGCACAUUGCCUGCCGGGGAGGUGGGAUAGGAAUUGCCCUGUGGAGACAGAGUGGGAACACUGGAGCUGGUGGGCAAAGAUCUGGAGGAUGUGGUCGUGUUGGGACAGUGCCAAAGCGGAGAUCAGGCAGUAGGAGGGAGGGAUGAGGAUUUCAGACAGAGUUGGGGAGUUCUGGUGUAUGGGAGGUUGAAAGGGGCAUUACAUGCAAACAAAAAGCUGGGACUGCCCUCACCUGAGGGACAGAGAUAGUCAGAGAUGGUGGACCCAGGUGCUGGCAGGGAGAUGUCAUUCUGGGAGCCGGACCGCCACGGUCAGUAUGUGAAUACACAUCCCAUGAAGUGGGGUGCUCUUGUGCCUAGUUAUUUAAGGCGUGAACAUCUUGACUUAAGAAACAGAUGGGCGGCAGGUGUUGCUGUGCUGAAGGUCAGAGCUACACUAAAAGCACCUUCAGUUGUCUUCAUCCUACAGUUUCUCUGUGAACAUUUGGGCCAGCGCUUCUCUCCCUCUCCACCUGAGGAGUUUUAGAUCUGCAGCUAGAUCCUCACUCUGCAACUCAGCUUUCAUCCCUGCUUGCCACAGCAUCAGCCCACUCUCUUGGAUCCUAGAAAAGCAAAUUCAUCUUUCCAUCUGGUCCUCUUCAUCUCCUUAUUGAAUAGGUAGCAUUUGCCUCAGAUGGCUCGCCCCAUACUGAAGAACAACAUGUUUCACACUGCACGGAGUGUCACAAAAGGCCUUAUUUCCAUCAGUGAAUCAUGUAAACUGGCUCUCCUGCUGCAAACCUACUCCGCUCGCCUGUGUUGGCUGCGGGGCUCCCCGGAGGAAGCCUGGGUAAAUGAACAAGUGUGAAGUGCAGUGCCACAGCCUUCUGCACUUCCUUUCUCCCCACUGCUAAGAAUAACGUCUCAUUUGUAAACAAAGCAGCUCCCAGGCUAUUUUUAUAGUGCUUUGGAGAUGCGUUGGAUGAACAAGCCCACAUCCUGCUUUCUUCCUGCACCCCAGGUCACACCCAGCACAGGCAGCUGCUGCGCUAGCUGUGUCAGAUCGCAGCGUGCAGCCAACGUGUUUCCAUCCUGCUCUGGAGGAGCCACCCUUGCUAAUGAGAGCAGCUUUCAUUCCAGCUGAGUUCCCAGAUUCUCUCCCACUACCAACAGGACCUGCAGGCGAGCAGCUUCUGAUGAUCACAGUGAGGACACACACCUGCAAGGGCUUGUUCCCGGGUAGAAGGCACAGAGCAUUUGAGCACUUGGCACUGUCACACCCAGAGCCAAAAAAAAAUCCAGCCAACUGGCAAGGUUUGCCACCACCAGGGCAAUUCUUGCUAUUGCUAAAGAGCCUUUAUCACCUUUCUCAGCCCUGCAAAGCAGCGCACUGACGGGAACGUUUCUUUUAGCCAGCUCCUGUGUUGACUCUGUGGUUAACUUCCCACAGAAGUCAAAGCUCUGAAAUUGAAUCAGCAAACAGAAACACGGGAGGUAAAUGACGUAACAUCCAGCCCACAGGCUGCACCACGGGCUGCUCCUCUCUGUGUGCCUGCUGCAGGAGGCCAGCCUGUGAGGCAGCACAGAGAAAGGCUGCUCAGAGCUGGUGGCUGUUCCUUUUUCUUGCUAGCCUAAAGGAGCAAAAGGGAUUGUAAUAAAGCUACUAAAGCUAAUGGAUGGUGAUUGCAGCAAUCACAGGAGGAGUGGAGCUAGUCUUAAUGCGGCUAAUUUGUACACCACUAGCAAUAAAAUUGUGGCAGCUUAGAGCCCAAGAUGCAGUGUGGACAAAGUGCCUGAAGCUGUAGUACUGCAUCCUGUAACACUGCCGCUUCUAUACCUGAGUUAGCUUUGCUGAUGCUGUCCCAAGUGCAUGCAAAGAUGCCUGUAGCUGGUCUGUCUGCAGUGAGGAUGGGUCCAGCACCAAGAAAGCAGCAAGGGACUGAGUGCCAGCACCUCUCAAAUCUUUCCUGGCAGAGCAGUGAAAUCAACAGGUACCUUUAACAAGCACUUUGAGCCUUCCACAGGUCCUAGAGCCUUCAGGAACAAAAAGGAAUUUGCCUUUCCUCGAUUUGCUGUGAAGGAAUGGGUCAAAACAAAAAGCCUCCGGUAAUGAUGUGAAAGGGAUUCAAGCUGGAGGGAAGGCUCAGACACCCUGCCACCCUCCCCAGGACCCUUCUCAGCCCCACAGCUCCAACAGCUGGAGCAAAGCUUGACCAUGGUGCAUUCACUGCCCAUAGGAUGAGUUGGAUGAAAUCCUAUGACCUGUGUUAGAAAUCAGGCACUUUCUGCCUUUAGUCUGAGUCCAGGAAAGUAACCCAGGAUUAAAGAAUACUCUACCUCAGGAAAUCUCAGUGAAAGCCUUACCCGUUUCUUACUUUCACUUAAGUGUUUUCACCCAUCCAUCCCUCCCUACACUCACUUAAAGAUUUAUUUGGUUUCUCUCUCUCUCCAGGCUCAAUCUAAUUAAACACACACACACAAAAAUUAAAAAUAAAAAAAGAAAAGGGGAGCUUUAUUCAUGUGAGCGUUCUGUGAACUGUACUGAGGAAAAGUGCUGAAUACACCAAAAAACAUGGAACAAUUUUUAUGUGACUAGGGUCUUUUUUUUUUCGGGGAUUUUUUUCCUUCUUGCUCAGCAAAGCUCUUUUUUCUCUUAAGUAAAGAAAUGGCUGAAACCCCACACUUCGGUACAGAAAAUUCAAGCUCAAUACAAUGACAAAAACAUGAAAUGUUAUUUUAUCGGUCACUGAAUUCCUUUUCCAUACUGGGAGCAUUUCCAUAGAAGUGAUUAACAAAAUAAAGCCCUGAUCCCUUGAGUUUAAAAAAGCUUUUAAAAUGGCGAAAUUAAGCUUUUAGGCUAUAAGUUAGACAUAGGAUUGUCUGGCAAGGUCCAUGUGACUUCCAUUUCCAUACGCAUUACGAUACCAUCUUUCAUCUUGAACCUAUGUACUUGCAUAAUGGCAUUUCCCUGGGAACCUUUCCUAUAUUCAUUGUCCAAAAUAAAUGGUGAUCUCACGAUCAGGUAUUUCAUAC
ensembl:lncRNA